CUGCUGGUGUCACCACAGCAAACUGGCUAGCAGGCCAAUCAUGACUGCCUGCAAGCCAUUUCUUUGACGCCAUGCCUGGUUGUUGAAUAGAUGGGCAAUCACGCUGUGUCAGGUUCUGGCUGCUGUGUUUGAGCAUACACCUCAAGCAGAGUGGAGAGAUGGCAGGAAAUGAGUGGAGAGAGAGGGGGAAUGACUGGACAGAUAAAUCAAGACACCUGAAGACAUCCCCUUGAGAUUUAUAAACUUGUGAUGGGCAUUCUUCAUCAUUUUCUGACAUUUAAUAUUUUGAAUUUGUUUUUGAAAAUAAUAAGAUUUGAUUUGAAAAAUACUUAACCAGUUCCUCAAUUCAUCUCUUUUGUUUCUGUCCUGCUGCUCCUACCUAUUUCACCUCCUUUCACUCUUUUAUUCUAUGCAUGAAUUCGAUUUUUCAUGCCCGUUGUACCCGUCUCCUCCUAUAGUAGAUUAGAUUGCUAGUUUUUCAGGUAUUCUGCUCUCUCCUAUGCAGGGGCGUCCACAUUGUUCUGCAGCUCACUGUCAGUAUCCAUAAAUCCAAUUUGCUGUGUGUGUGUCUGCGUGUGUGUGUGCUUGCAUGUACACGUUUACAGCUAGUACAAUGGCCACUCUGUGUUUCUUAAAAGCUACAUUUAGAGUUACAGCGUAAGUUUGCAUCUGUAGCUCUGUGUGUGUGUGUGUGUGUGUGUUUGGCUUGGUUGCAGCUGCACUUUUUUGCAUCUGCGUUUGUACCUGCAACCCUGUAUGUAAUAUAUUUUGCAUGCAACUGCUUAUGUGAGAGUGCAUUUAUUUCUCUGUGUCUUGUAUCUUUGUAAUUAUGUGUGUUUGUGUGUUAGCGAUAGCUCUGGGUCGAGCUGGCUGUCAGUCUUGAUAAGGCCAGCGGUGGGGAGGCAUUAGUCGGGGCUGCUGCUCGCCUGGCCUCCGCUUGGUGGAUCUGCUGCGAGGGAGCUGAACCAUUAGACACGCUGCAGUGACUACAGAGAGAGAGAGAGAGAGAG